AACGAACGCUGGCGGCAUGCCUAACACAUGCAAGUCGAACGAAGCCUUCGGGCUUAGUGGCGCACGGGUGCGUAACGCGUGGGAAUCUGCCCUUGGGUUCGGAAUAACAGUUAGAAAUGACUGCUAAUACCGGAGGAUGUCGUCGGACCAAAGAUUUAUCGCCCAAGGAUGAGCCUGCGUAGGAUUAGGUAGUUGGUGGGGUAAUGGCCCACCAAGCCGACGAUCCUUAGCUGGUCCGAGAGGAUAAUCAGCCACACUGGGACUGAGACACGGCCCAGACUCCUACGGGAGGCAGCAGUGGGGAAUAUUGGACAAUGGGCGAAAGCCUGAUCCAGCAAUGCCGCGUGAGUGAUGAAGGCCUUAGGGUUGUAAAGCUCUUUUACCAGGGAUGAUAAUGACAGUACCUGGAGAAUAAGCUCCGGCUAACUCCGUGCCAGCCGCCGCGGUAAGAC
rnacentral:rRNA from 1 species